rnacentral:rRNA from 1 species
AUUCCUACGGGAGGCAGCAGUGAGGAAUAUUCCACAAUGGGCGAAAGCCUGAUGGAGCAAUGCCGCGUGCAGGAUGAAGCUUUUCGGAGUGUAAACUGCUUUUCUGAAGGAAGAUUAUGACGGUACUUCAGGAAUAAGGAUCGGCUAACUACGUGCCAGCAGCCGCGGUAAUAAU